rnacentral:piRNA from 1 species
UAGCCCAAAUGUAAAUACUCUUAUUUG